rnacentral:lncRNA from 1 species
AUAUGUUUUUAAUCUGUGACCUUCAGGUCUUUGUUAGCGCAAAUCAGAAGAUCCAAUUCAUUAGGACUGUCUGGUCUGGCUCAACCAACACACGAUAUGACAACAUCUUUAUUUCAGCUUACUAGUAAAGCUGAUGAUAAGCAAGGUCAGGUUUGCGUGGGGAAGUAACGGCCUUUACUAAAACACGUGAUACAGAACUUCAUCACAAGUAAUCUAUUAAAUAAUAUUGUCUUCCAAGUAUUUCCCUAGAAGGGUGAUGAAGGGAAGAGUUUCAGCAUUUUGUU